UGGGGAAUUUUGGACAAUGGGCGCAAGCCUGAUCCAGCCAUGCCGCGUGCAGGAUGAAGGCCUUCGGGUUGUAAACUGCUUUUGUACGGAACGAAAAAGCCUUCUCUAAUAAAGGGGGUGAAUGACGGUACCGUAAGAAUAAGCACCGGCUAACUACGUGCCAGCAGCCGCGGUAAUACGUAGGGUGCAAGCGUUAAUCGGAAUUACUGGGCGUAAAGCGUGCGCAGGCGGUUAUGUAAGACAGAGGUGAAAUCCCCGGGCUCAACCUGGGAACUGCCUUUGUGACUGCAUAGCUGGAGUGCGGCAGAGGGGGAUGGAAUUCCGCGUGUAGCAGUGAAAUGCGUAGAUAUGCGGAGGAACACCGAUGGCGAAGGCAAUCCCCUGGGCCUGCACUGACGCUCAUGCACGAAAGCGUGGGGAGCAAACAGG
rnacentral:rRNA from 1 species